rnacentral:sRNA from 1 species
GGCACACCCCGAGCGCUGGACCAAGUACAGCCUGGAAGAUGUGACCGAGGUCUCCCGCCAGUGGAGACUGUUGGCUUCCAUGGCAGCAGGAAGCGGAGUCGAGACCACUUCCGGAACAAGGGCAGCAGCCCCGAGGACCCAGGUGCUGAGGUCUGAGAGGGAGAUGGCCCAGCCUGACCACACUGGCCACUGCCAUCCUGCUGCCUUCCCAGUGGGGCUGGUCAAGGGGCAGCCUGGCCACUGCCUAGCUGGAAUGGGAGGAAGCCUGCAGGCUGCCUGUAGGUGGCACCGGCGGCCCUGGCUGCAGCUCUGGGCGGCGUCCUCCCGAGCAGAGAUCUUGCUGAAGCUCCUGGGGUGUGGGCUGGAAGCACUGGCUCCCUGGUAGGGACAAUAAAGGUUUUGGGUCUUUUUGA